rnacentral:rRNA from 1 species
UACGUAGGGUGCAAGCGUUAAUCGGAAUUACUGGGCGUAAAGCGUGCGCAGGCGGUGAUGUAAGACAGUUGUGAAAUCCCCGGGCUCAACCUGGGAACUGCAUCUGUGACUGCAUUGCUGGAGUGCGGCAGAGGGGGAUGGAAUUCCGCGUGUAGCAGUGAAAUGCGUAGAUAUGCGGAGGAACACCGAUGGCGAAGGCAAUCCCCUGGGCCUGCACUGACGCUCAUGCACGAAAG